AUAUGAAUCAUCUAGAGAUCUUGGUAAAAUGCAGAUUCUGAUUCCGUAAUUCUGGAGUGGGGCCUCAGAUUCUGAAGUUCUAACAAGCUCCUUAAUGUUGCUGCU
rnacentral:pre_miRNA from 1 species